rnacentral:rRNA from 1 species
UACGUAGGUGGCAAGCGUUAUCCGGAAUUAUUGGGCGUAAAGCGCGCGUAGGCGGUUUUUUAAGUCUGAUGUGAAAGCCCACGGCUCAACCGUGGAGGGUCAUUGGAAACUGGAAAACUUGAGUGCAGAAGAGGAAAGUGGAAUUCCAUGUGUAGCGGUGAAAUGCGCAGAGAUAUGGAGGAACACCAGUGGCGAAGGCGACUCUCUGGUCUGUAACUGACGCUGAGGCGCGAAAGCGUGGGGAGCAAACAGG